ensembl:lncRNA
CCAGGAAUUUGGGGCGCGGGGUGGGGGUGGGGGCAUCUGGGGAGCUAGGCUGGUGGUGCCUCCUAAAGGUGAUGGGGUGGAGGGGACUUAGGAGGGAGGAAUCAGACAGGAUGUCAACAGAGGGAGCGAGGGUAAGGAGCCCAGUGGAACAGGACCCAUCCUAGGUGUAAGCCAGCCUGGAUCCAGGGCACCACGAUGGGUGCAGGUGACCUUCGCCAGCCUUCAUCUCUCCCAUCUCUCUCGCCUCCCAUACUGCCACCUACAGCCUCGGCAACUGGCCUCCUCUCUUUCUGACUCCCUCGCCUGACUGCCUGUCUGGCCCAGCUUCGGGCUUCCUGCUUAUACAUCCCAGGUCUGCUCCAGCCGGUAGCCUCCUCUCUACUAGUUGCCAGACACCUGUGCCCGGCCUCAACCCCUCUUCCAGAAACUCUUAGUCUAGGAGAAAUGGAUAUGAAACAGAUCCCCGCCCUCCUUUAUAUGAGAGGAAGUGGUGGCCCCUGGAGGGGAAGGACAUGGCCCACAGGCACCUGGUCUCCCAGCACUCCACCCAUGCUAGGGGAUACAGGUUCGAUCCCUGGUCCUCGAGAAGGUCCCACAAGCCGCAGAGCAGCCAAGCCCGUGCACCACAACUACUGAGAAGGUGCCCUAGAGCCCGGGAGCCACAACUAUUGAACCCAUGAACUGCACCUCUGGAAGCUGGCACACCCUAGAGCCUGUGCUCCGCAACAAGAGAAGCCACCGCGAUGAGAAGCCCACCCACCAUGAUGAGCGAGUAGCCUCCACUCUCCACCACGAGAGAGCCUGCUCGCAGCAACAAAGACCCAGCAUAACCAAAAAUAUUUUUUAAAUGUUAAAAAUAAG